rnacentral:rRNA from 1 species
GACGAACGCUGGCGGCGUGCCUAAUACAUGCAAGUCGAACGCAGUUGCGAACGGGUGAGUAACGCGUAGGUAACCUGCCUCAUAGCGGGGGAUAACUAUUGGAAACGAUAGCUAAUACCGCAUACUGUUAGAUGGACCUGCGUUGUAUUAGCUAGUUGGUGAGGUAAAGGCUCACCAAGGCGACGCUACAUAGCCGACCUGGGUGGGGGAUCGGCCCAACUUGGACCUGGACACGGCCCAGACUCCGACGGGAGGCAGCAGUAGGGAAUCUUCGGAAAUUGACGGAAGUCUGACUGAGCAACGCCGCGUGAGUGAAGAAGGUUUUCGGAUCGUAAAGCUCUGUUGGUAGAGAAGCGGUAACUAAAGAGAAAGGGACGGCUAACUACGUGCCAGCAGCCGCGGUAAUAC